rnacentral:rRNA from 1 species
GACGAACGCUGGCGGCGUGCUUAACACAUGCAAGUCGAACGGAAAGGCCCUGCUUUUGUGGGGUGCUCGAGUGGCGAACGGGUGAGUAACACGUGAGUAACCUGCCCUUGACUUUGGGAUAACUUCAGGAAACUGGGGCCAAUACCGGAUAGGAGCUCCUGCUGCAUGGUGGGGGUUGGAAAGUUUCGGCGGUUGGGGAUGGACUCGCGGCUUAUCAGCUUGUUGGUGGGGUAGUGGCUUACCAAGGCUUUGACGGGUAGCCGGCCUGAGAGGGUGACCGGCCACAUUGGGACUGAGAUACGGACCAGACUCCUACGGGAGGCAGCAGUGGGGAAUAUUGCACAAUGGGCGGAAGCCUGAGGCAGCAACGCCGCGUGCGGGAUGACGGCCUUCGGGUUGUAAACCGCUUUCGCCUGUGACGAAGCGUGAGUGACGGUAAUGGGUAAAGAAGCACCGGCUAACUACGUG